rnacentral:rRNA from 1 species
UACGUAGGUGGCAAGCGUUGUCCGGAAUUAUUGGGCGUAAAGCGCGCGCAGGCGGUCCUUUAAGUCUGAUGUGAAAGCCCACGGCUCAACCGUGGAGGGUCAUUGGAAACUGGGGGACUUGAGUACAGAAGAGGAAAGCGGAAUUCCACGUGUAGCGGUGAAAUGCGUAGAGAUGUGGAGGAACACCAGUGGCGAAGGCGGCUUUCUGGGCUCUACCUGACGCUGAGGCGCGAAAGCGUGGGGAGCGAACCGG